UAACGUAACUUUAUCUUAGACUUGCUGUGGCCAAUGUCCGGGCUUUCGAUAGCAAAGCCAAAGUUUAUCCCUUCCUGUUCGAGUGUUCAUGGUCUCUUGUUGAGGACUGCAACAAACAGGCGGGGCGACAUAGUCUCAUUUCCCCAUUUCACUGCGGAUUUGGGAAAAGCAUUUAUCAUGGAAAAAAAGAAAAUUAUUAAGAUUGUGGCUGUCAAUUAAUUAAGUGCUCUUCAGUGGGUGUUGAAACAUUUCUCUUUUCACCUAAACACCUCUCCAAAUGUAAAUGGCCCGGUUGAUUGGGCACCAAACAUUAGCCCGGAUUUUUUUCUUCGCAGGUUCCCAUGACGUCACACGUUACUUUGCAUUAGAUUUCUUACAAAUGUUUAUUUAUUAUUUAGUUUCUUGCUUUUGGUGAUUUAUUCUUUCAUUUUGUUUUUCAAGUAUUUGCUUUUUAAAUGUAUAUGUUCAUGUCUGGAGCGGGGUUUGAAUACAUAUGAUUUAAAGAAAACUGAACACAUUGCAGCGGUCAGCUGUACAAUACUGGAGUCUCAUUUCACUUCCGACCGGGACCAAUUUGGAAUUGGGGAUGGCUGUAGUGCACCCUGCGAUUGGCUGGCAUGCAGUUGAGGGUGUCCCUCGCCUACUGCCCGAAGACAGCUUGGUCCAGCUCCAACACCCCCCCUUGACCCUUGUGAGGAUAAAGCGGUCCAGAAAAAAUGGAUGGAUGGCUGUAGUGUGCCAUUAAAAAGAGAU